CCUAGGUUCCGUGUCCAACGUUUGACCGUCCGUCUUAUUUAAAAAAAUUAUGAAAAAAAUUGAAAAAACAAGUCACGCAUAAAGUAUUAAUCAUGUUUUAUCAUCUAACAACAAUUAAAAUACUAAUUAUAAAAAAAAUUCAUAUAAGACGGAUAGUCAAAUGUUGGAAAAAAAACACAGGAUUUAUCUUUUU
rfam:Oryza sativa Japonica Group DNA, chromosome 9, cultivar: Nipponbare, complete sequence.